AGCAUUUUUAGCUCAGUGGAUAGAGCAUCGGUCUUCUAAAUCGUGGGUCGUAGGUUCGAAUCCUAUAAAGUGUUAC
rnacentral:tRNA from 2 species